ACCAAGCACGAUCAGAUUCCUUGGGAGUUCUUCGGCAGACGAUUUCUAUGCACCGGCUCCAUGAGACGAAGAACAAAACAGCAUGCCACCUGACUGAUGACCCACCCACCGUUUACCCGGCCCCAGGAGCUAGAAGGCCUUGAGACAAAAGCUCGGGCAGGAUUCUGAUGGGCGCAACAGAAUAUCAUCUACGAUGCUUGUCCCACGGCCUGACUGAAUAAUAUUUGUAUAAUCAAUGGAAGGAAAAAACAGUAGAACAUUGAAAUUGGCUCGUAGGCAAGACGGAAGAUGGUCAAAACCGGUCAGAAAAUGAUGGCCUAGACACGGUUGGAGAGCUCUUGUUGGCAGAAACCACCUGAAGAUGGUCAGAUGACAUCAGCAACCUUG